UCAAGCGAACAAGGGCGCAGGGCGAAUGCCUUGGCACUGGGAGCCGAUGAAAGACGUGAUAAGCUGCGAUAAGCUUCGGGGAGCUGCAAAUAAGCAUUGAUCCGGAGAUUUCUGAAUGAGGAAACUCACCUGGGUUCAUACUCAGGUACGUUAUACUGAACUUCAAAAUAGGUAUAUCGAGGGAACCGCCUGAACUGAAACAUCUAAGUAGGGCGAGGAAGAGACAUCAAACGAGAUUCCGUAAGUAGUGGCGAGCGAACGCGGAAGAGGGCAAACCGAGAGUAGAAAUACUUUCGGGGUACGGAGCGCAUUUAGGACUUAAGUUGUUAACCGAACGGCAUGGGAAGGCCGGUCAGAGAGUGUGAGAACCACGUAGGUGAAAACGACAAGAGCCGAGCGAAUUCCAGAGUACGGCCAGACACGUGAAACCUGGUCGGAAUACGGGGGGACCACCCUCCAACCCUAAAUACUACCCAGUGACCGAUAGCGUAUAGUACUGUGAAGGAAAGGUGAAAAGCACCCCGGGAGGGGAGUGAAAAAGAACCUGAAACCCUGUGCCUACAAGCACCUAGAGCACGUCAAUGUGUGAUAGGGUACUUUUUGUAGAACGGUCCGGCGAGCGAUUGUAUGCAGCAAGGUUAAGGACUUAAGGUCUGGAGCCGAAGCGAAAGCGAGUUUGAAAAGGGCGUUAAGUUGCAUAUAAUGGGCCCGAAACCGGGUGACCUACCCAUGGUCAGGUUGAAGUGGAAGUAAAAUUCCAUGGAGGACCGAACCGACCUCCGUUGAAAAGGCGGCGGAUGAACUGUGGGUAGCGGAGAAAUUCCAAUCGAACCCGGAGAUAGCUGGUUCUCCCCGAAAUAGUUUUAGGACUAGCCUCAAGUUAGAUACCUGGAGGUAAAGCACUGAAUAGCCUAGCGGCCGAGAGGUUAGCGAAGCUUAUCAAACUCAGAAUGCCAGAGUAUUGAUGCUUGGGAGUCAGACAGUGUCAGAUAAAUGUCAUUGUCAAAAGGGAAACAGCCCAGAUCUACAGCUAAGGUCCCAAAGUCAGGUUAAGUGGAAAACGAUGUGAAGAUACGUAGACAACCAGGAUGUUGGCUCAGAAGCAGCCACUCAUUCAAAGAGUGCGUAAUAGCUCACUGGUCGAGCGUCUUUGCGCGGAGAAUUUAACGGGGCUAAACCUGACACCGAAGCUUAGGCAAUACAGCAAUGUAUUGGGUAGGGGAGCGUUGUAUACGCGGUGAAACAGUAGCGCAAGCGGCUGUGGAGUGUAUAGAAGUGAGAAUGCCGGAAUGAGUAGCGCGAAUGCAGUGAGAAUCUGCAUGGCCGAAAGCCUCAGGUUUCUGGAGGAAGGUUCGUCCGCUCCAGGUCAGUCGGGAGCUAAGGUGAGGCCUAACGGCGUAGCCGAUGCACAGACGGUAGAGAUUCCGUCACCACCAAAAGAGUUAAACACAGGGACACAUAUGAAGUCUCGGAGCCGGGUGUUGGUUCCGGUAGCGAUCGAGGGAAGUUAGUACCGAAGUCCGGGAUGGAAGAUGGCGAGAAAAGCUGUGUGUAUUUCUGCGGUGCCCGUACCGCAAACCGACACAGGUAGGUAGGAAGAAGAUUCUAAGGCCAACGGGAGAAGGGUUGUUAAGGAACUCGGCAAAUUGACCCCGUAACUUCGGGAGAAGGGGUGCUGCAGCAAUGCAGCCGCAGAGAAUCGGCCCAAGCAACUGUUUACCAAAAACACAGGUUUGUGCUAAAUCGAAAGAUGACGUAUACGAGCUGACGCCUGCCCGGUGCUGGAAGGUUAAGAGGAGAUGUGCAAGCAUUGAAUCGAAGCCCCAGUGAACGGCGGCCGUAACUAUAACGGUCCUAAGGUAGCGAAAUUCCUUGUCAGGUAAG
rnacentral:rRNA from 1 species